AUUUCUCUGAGAUGUUUGCAAGCGGGCCAGUCCCCUGAGCCGAUAUUUCAUACCACAAGAAUGUGGCGCUCCACGGUUGGUGAGCAUGCUCGGCCCGUCCGAGAAGCCUUAAAACUGUGACGACACAUUCACCUUGAACCAAGGGUUCAAGGGUUACAGCCUGCGGCGGCAUCUCGGAGAUUCC
rnacentral:other from 99 species